GAGUUUGAUCCUGGCUCAGAACGAACGCUGGCGGCAGGCCUAACACAUGCAAGUCGAACGAAGUCUUCGGACUUAGUGGCAGACGGGUGAGUAACGCGUGGGAACCUACCUGGAGGUUCGGAAUAACUCGGGGAAACUCGGGCUAAUACCGGAUACGCCCUUACGGGGAAAGAUUUAUCGCCUUUAGAUGGGCCCGCGUUGGAUUAGCUUGUUGGUGAGGUAAAAGCUCACCAAGGCGACGAUCCAUAGCUGGUCUGAGAGGAUGAUCAGCCACACUGGGACUGAGACACGGCCAGACUCCUACGGGAGGCAGCAGUGAGGAAUAUUCGGCAAUGGGCGCAAGCCUGACCGAGCCAUGCCGCGUGAGUGAAGAAGGCCUGCGGGUUGUAAAGCACUUUCAACAGAGAAGAAAACACGGUGUUAAUACCACCGGACUAUGACGUUAUCUGUACAAGAAGCACCGGCUAAUUCCGUGCCAGCAGCCGCGGUAAUACGGAAAGGUGCGAGCGUUAAUCGGAAUUACUGGGCGUAAAGCGUGUGUAGGCGGUUUAGUAAGUCAGAUGUGAAAUCCCCGGGCUUAACCUGGGGAACUGCGUUUGAUACUAUUAGACUAGAGUACAGUUGAGGG
rnacentral:rRNA from 1 species